rnacentral:lncRNA from 1 species
AGAAAGUAAGAUGAGUAGUAGUAGUAAACAAGUUUGGCUCUAUUAAUGUCUGCGCUCGUCAUCUUAUCGAACAAGAAAGGCCAUAUAUGUCUUUCUAAUCUUAUUUUCCCAACGCUUCUAUUCUUGUCUCAUCUAAUCCCAGAUUCUUGCCUCCUGUUGAUACAAAUUAUUAAUGAGACGUAACUUAUAACUAAUACCUAUCGACAUUUC